GAUGAACGCUAGCGGCAGGCUUAACACACGCAAGUCGAGGGGUAGAGUUAGCUUGCUAACUUGAGACCGGCGCACGGGUGCGUAACGCGUAUGCAAUCUACCUUGUACAGAGGGAUAGCCCAGAGAAAUUUGGAUUAAUACCUCAUAGUAUUAUUGAAUGGCAUCAUUUGAUUAUUAAAGUUCCAACGGUACAAGAUGAGCAUGCGUCCCAUUAGCUAGAUGGUAAGGCAACGGCUUACCAUGGCAACGAUGGGUAGGGGUCCUGAGAGGGAGAUCCCCCACACUGGUACUGAGACACGGACCAGACUCCUACGGGAGGCAGCAGUGAGGAAUAUUGGUCAAUGGGCGCAAGCCUGAACCAGCCAUGCCGCGUGCAGGAAGACGGUCCUAUGGAUUGUAAACUGCUUUUAUACGGGAAGAAACCCUGCUACGUGUAGCAGCUUGACGGUACCGUAAGAAUAAGCAUCGGCUAACUCCGUGCCAGCCGCCGCAGUAA
rnacentral:rRNA from 1 species